UAGAUAUAUCUAUAUAAGGCCGUGUUCACAUUGACCUAAACUCGGUGUUGUGUAAGUGUAACUCACACGUAAACUAAACAAAAUUACGUUCCCAUUGAUAAAACUCAAUGUUUACAUGUAGUGUAAAUCAUGUUUUGUCUACAUGCAGUCGAUACUCGAUGUAGGCCUUGUGUAGAUUAAGUGUACACAAAACUAGGCAUUUAAAACAUUAGUUUCACCAUGCAUAUUUAAGGAAGAAACGAUUUUUUUUAAUAAAAUUGAUAUUUAUAGCAAUUAUGAAGUUCUUUACAGAAAUAUUUGUCUCAACUUGAUAUAUUUAUUUGUUUUGUUUAGAAAUAAAACUUAACGUAGCUUUAUUAAGCCCUUAUCAAGACUCAAAUCAGCAUCAUUGCCAAACACAUAAUUCAUUUGAAAAUUAAGGUCUUUCCGAAUCGACUUGACUUACACAGAAAUAUUUGCCACUGGUCUUUACUCAAACAACGAU
rnacentral:lncRNA from 1 species